AUUGAACGCUGGCGGCAGGCCUAACACAUGCAAGUCGAGCGAUCGGCGGACUGGUGAGUAAUGUAUGGGGAUCUGCCCUCUAGAUGGGGAUACCUACUGGACACGGUUGCUAAUCCCGCAUACUCUCGGAUGACCCCAUAUGGGAUUAGCUAGUAGGUGGGGUAAAGGCUCACCUAGGCGACGAUCUCUCGCUGGUCUGAGAGGAUGAUCAGCCACACUGGGACUGAGACACGGCCCAGACUCCUACGGGAGGCAGGAGUGGGGAAUAUUGCACAAUGGGAGCAAGCCUGAUGCAGCCAUGCCGCGUGUAUGAAGAAGGCCUUAGGGUUGUAAAGUACUGUCAGCGGGGAGGCGUUACCCGCAGAAGAAGCACCGGCUAACUCCGUGCCAGCAGCCGCGGUAAUAC
rnacentral:rRNA from 1 species